GGGGCUCCGCCCACGCUCUCAGGGGCUACCCCAGUUAAGGAGGCGCUGUCCUGGCGUCGGAUGGGGACGGGGAACGCGGCGAGGGCGCUGCGACCUCUGCCCACCUGGCCCGGCCGCAGUCUCGGAGUUCCUGUUCCUCACAGGAGCUAAUUAUUUAUGACAGCUGCAUGGUUCCCCUCCCCCAGUUACUCAGUGCUUGGCACUCGGCACCCCUUACUCAGCACUCAGUACCGCACUCGGCCUCAGGGGACCUGGGCAGAGGGAAGCAGGGAGUCUCCCGCGGAAACUCUUGCUCUGCCAAAGCUUGGGGAGAGGUUGGCCUCUCAUGCUUCUAACUCAUCAGCUGUUACCUGUGGGAGCUACUACCUACUCAGCAUCGCUCAGGGCACUGCAUUACGCCUUCCAGGCAAUUAUACAAGAGAAACAGAUGAUCAAGACUCUGCUAGCAGGAGAAAAAGAGAGAAAAGAGAGAUGAAAAAGUCUUGUGUGACCAGAAGCUUAUCAACCUUGUGUGCUGUUGGCUUACUUUAACAUUUACAGCAGAUGAUAGAAUUGUGUUCAGAUGACACAAUAAGGUAUCAAAUGACUUCACGAAAGCAAGACGGCACUGAACCCCAAGUUUGUGCCUUCAGUCUCUCGCCUCGGCACCUAGGUAAUCCUUUGCCCACAGGACCACACCACCCUCCCCCAGUGAGAGGAACCAGAGUGACGGGAAAGGGAAGCCCCACACAACCAGCACUCGAGGCCCGGCCCACUGGGAGCACUGGGUGGCCUGGCCUGGGAAAGCCCCUUGUGCCCCUUGGGUGGCACCAGCAGGUACCCGUGGGAGCUCCAGCAGCACCAGACAAACCAAGCAGACCCAAGAUAGCACCAUGAAGGCUCUGAACAUCAAAUUGUCACUGGAAGCAUGGCCUGCAGAAGCGGGCCACAAUCCUCACACUAAACCUAAGCAGAGCGACUGGCUGCAAAAAGGAAAGACUUAAAAAAUAGGAUCCAGAGACCUUCCUCUUCCUCAUGAGUUUUCCAAAUCACACUUGAUUGAAACAAAAACGUUAGCACCAUCUGAGACUCAGGACAGUGAUAUUUAUGAGCGGGGAGGGUAAAGGAAGCUCCAUGCUAUAAGUUCCGCACCUCGCUUGAAGUAGGAAAAGGCCACGGCACGCAGGACUCACUGAGUGGCUACCAAAAGAAACCAACGCUGAGCUAUAGCAUGGCAAGCUAAUACUACAUUUUGGAAAAGCACGCAUAUUGAAAUUUGCGUCAUUUGUGCUAUUAUUUGUGCUAUUAUAAAGACCUGACGCCUGGUGGAACCGUGCUUACAAUGUGUGGGUACUUAAACGCGUGUUCUGAAAAACUCCUCUGCUGCUUCUUCCUCUGAUUUCACAUUCGGUAAACCUGCAAGUGCACACAUUUCAUCCCCUUGCAAGACUGUUGUCAGUGCUCAGUAAGUCUACAUUUUACAUAGGAUGAGGUGAUUACAAAGAUGGCACCAUGGAUAAACGACACUACCUGUGUUAGCAGUUGUGACUUUUCCUUCU
rnacentral:lncRNA from 1 species